rnacentral:ncRNA from 1 species
UCUGGGGUGACCCAGAAUCUGAAGGAAGCCGCAGGCAAAGCGCUGACAUGACGUACAGGAAUCGUAUGAGGCUGUUUAUCUGGAUGAGGAGGCAAUUAUCUCUAAAGUCCGAUACUUACACGGAAAGGUAAGCAGUAUAUACGGCGUGUAUAAGCGUGACAGAAGUGCAUC